AGCCCAGAGCCUGAAUCAGUGUGUGUGUUAGUGGAAGCGUCUGGAAAGGCGCGCGAUACAGGGUGACAGCCCCGUACACAAAAAUGCACAUGCUGUGAGCUCGAUGAGUAGGGCGGGACACGUGGUAUCCUGUCUGAAUAUGGGGGGACCAUCCUCCAAGGCUAAAUACUCCUGACUGACCGAUAGUGAACCAGUACCGUGAGGGAAAGGCGAAAAGAACCCCGGCGAGGGGAGUGAAAAAGAACCUGAAACCGUGUACGUACAAGCAGUGGGAGCACGCUUAGGCGUGUGACUGCGUACCUUUUGUAUAAUGGGUCAGCGACUUAUAUUCUGUAGCAAGGUUAACCGAAUAGGGGAGCCGAAGGGAAACCGAGUCUUAACUGGGCGUUAAGUUGCAGGGUAUAGACCCGAAACCCGGUGAUCUAGCCAUGGGCAGGUUGAAGGUUGGGUAACACUAACUGGAGGACCGAACCGACUAAUGUUGAAAAAUUAGCGGAUGACUUGUGGCUGGGGGUGAAAGGCCAAUCAAACCGGGAGAUAGCUGGUUCUCCCCGAAAGCUAUUUAGGUAGCGCCUCGUGAAUUCAUCUCCGGGGGUAGAGCACUGUUUCGGCAAGGGGGUCAUCCCGACUUACCAACCCGAUGCAAACUGCGAAUACCGGAGAAUGUUAUCACGGGAGACACACGGCGGGUGCUAACGUCCGUCGUGAAGAGGGAAACAACCCAGACCGCCAGCUAAGGUCCCAAAGUCAUGGUUAAGUGGGAAACGAUGUGGGAAGGCCCAGACAGCCAGGAUGUUGGCUUAGAAGCAGCCAUCAUUUAAAGAAAGCGUAAUAGCUCACUGGUCGAGUCGGCCUGCGCGGAAGAUGUAACGGGGCUAAACCAUGCACCGAAGCUGCGGCAGCGACGCUGAUGCGUUGUUGGGUAGGGGAGCGUUCUGUAAGCCUGUGAAGGUGUACUGUGAGGUAUGCUGGAGGUAUCAGAAGUGCGAAUGCUGACAUAAGUAACGAUAAAGCGGGUGAAAAGCCCGCUCGCCGGAAGACCAAGGGUUCCUGUCCAACGUUAAUCGGGGCAGGGUGAGUCGACCCCUAAGGCGAGGCCGAAAGGCGUAGUCGAUGGGAAACAGGUUAAUAUUCCUGUACUUGGUGUUACUGCGAAGGGGGGACGGAGAAGGCUAUGUUGGCCGGGCGACGGUUGUCCCGGUUUAAGCGUGUAGGCUGGUUUUCCAGGCAAAUCCGGAAAACUAAGGCUGAGGCGUGAUGACGAGGCACUACGGUGCUGAAGCAACAAAUGCCCUGCUUCCAGGAAAAGCCUCUAAGCAUCAGGUAACAUCAAAUCGUACCCCAAACCGACACAGGUGGUCAGGUAGAGAAUACCAAGGCGCUUGAGAGAACUCGGGUGAAGGAACUAGGCAAAAUGGUGCCGUAACUUCGGGAGAAGGCACGCUGAUAUGUAGGUGAAGUCCCUUGCGGAUGGAGCUGAAAUCAGUCGAAGAUACCAGCUGGCUGCAACUGUUUAUUAAAAACACAGCACUGUGCAAACACGAAAGUGGACGUAUACGGUGUGACGCCUGCCCGGUGCCGGAAGGUUAAUUGAUGGGGUCAGCGCAAGCGAAGCUCUUGAUCGAAGCCCCGGUAAACGGCGGCCGUAACUAUAACGGUCCUAAGGUAGCGAAAUUCCUUGUCGGGUAAGUUCCGACCUGCACGAAUGGCGUAAUGAUGGCCAGGCUGUCUCCACCCGAGACUCAGUGAAAUUGAACUCGCUGUGAAGAUGCAGUGUACCCGCGGCAAGACGGAAAGACCCCGUGAACCUUUACUAUAGCUUGACACUGAACAUUGAGCCUUGAUGUGUAGGAUAGGUGGGAGGCUUUGAAGUGUGGACGCCAGUCUGCAUGGAGCCGACCUUGAAAUACCACCCUUUAAUGUUUGAUGUUCUAACGUUGACCCGUAAUCCGGGUUGCGGACAGUGUCUGGUGGGUAGUUUGACUGGGGCGGUCUCCUCCUAAAGAGUAACGGAGGAGCACGAAGGUUGGCUAAUCCUGGUCGGACAUCAGGAGGUUAGUGCAAUGGCAUAAGCCAGCUUGACUGCGAGCGUGACGGCGCGAGCAGGUGCGAAAGCAGGUCAUAGUGAUCCGGUGGUUCUGAAUGGAAGGGCCAUCGCUCAACGGAUAAAAGGUACUCCGGGGAUAACAGGCUGAUACCGCCCAAGAGUUCAUAUCGACGGCGGUGUUUGGCACCUCGAUGUCGGCUCAUCACAUCCUGGGGCUGAAGUAGGUCCCAAGGGUAUGGCUGUUCGCCAUUUAAAGUGGUACGCGAGCUGGGUUUAGAACGUCGUGAGACAGUUCGGUCCCUAUCUGCCGUGGGCGCUGGAGAAUUGAGGGGGGCUGCUCCUAGUACGAGAGGACCGGAGUGGACGCAUCACUGGUGUUCGGGUUGUCAUGCCAAUGGCACUGCCCGGUAGCUAAAUGCGGAAGAGAUAAGUGCUGAAAGCAUCUAAGCACGAAACUUGCCCCGAGAUGAGUUCUCCCUGACUCCUUGAGAGUCCUGAAGGAACGUUGAAGACGACGACGUUGAUAGGCCGGGUGUGUAAGCGCAGCGAUGCGUUGAGCUAACCGGUACUAAUGAACCGUGAGGCUUAACCUUACAACGCCGAAGCUGUU
rnacentral:rRNA from 1 species